GAAAGAUGCCUCUGGUGAAGCCAUCGGGUUCGUGUUCGAAGACGCCACGUGGGGUGCAGUAUCGCUGUCCAUCUGUGACGCAUCCAGAAAACCCUUCCUAAAAGUGAAUGGGCCUUGCUUCGCCCCGGGUACCGCCAGCAACAUAGCUUUGCAGUGGUUCAUGGCGUGUACUCCCGGCCACUUGAUAGGCUGCAUUGUUUGCGUCGUGUGCUUCUUCUACAUUGUAUGUUACAUUGGAAUGUUUUGCGUGAACGCGCCGGCAGCUUGUCGCACGUUCGCCAGACGUUCUUCAGAGAAGAAGUAAUGGAGUGUCGUCAUCGAUGCGAUAUCAAGCAUAAUUGAUUAAAAUCUGAUCCGCAAUUGGU